UGGGGAAUAUUGGACAAUGGACCAAGAGUCUGAUCCAGCAAUUCUGUGUGCACGAUGAAGUUUUUCGGAAUGUAAAGUGCUUUCAGUUGGGAAGAAAGAAAUGACGGUACCAACAGAAGAAGUGACGGCUAAAUACGUGCCAGCAGCCGCGGUAAUACGUAUGUCACGAGCGUUAUCCGGAUUUAUUGGGCGUAAAGCGCGUCUAGGUGGUUAUAUAAGUCUGAUGUGAAAAUGCAGGGCUCAACUCUGUAUUGCGUUGGAAACUGUAUAACUAGAGUACUGGAGAGGUAAGCGGAACUACAAGUGUAGAGGUGAAAUUCGUAGAUAUUUGUAGGAAUGCCGAUGGGGAAGCCAGCUUACUGGACAGAUACUGACGCUGAAGCGCGAAAGCGUGGGUAGCAAACAGGAUUAGAUACCCUGGUAGUCCACGCCGUAAACGAUGAUUACUAGGUGUUGGGGGUCGAACCUCAGCGCCCAAGCAAACGCGAUAAGUAAUCCGCCUGGGGAGUACGUACGCAAGUAU
rnacentral:rRNA from 1 species